CAUUAGUGAACGCCCUCACGGGCUUAUAACUAUUCCAAACCUCUGUGAACCGUGCCCUUCGGGGCUAUUUUACAAACAUGGUGUAAUGAACGUCAUAUAUCAUAACAAAACAAAACUUUCAACAACGGAUCUCUUGGCUCUCGCAUCGAUGAAGAACGCAGCGAAAUGCGAUAAGUAAUGUGAAUUGCAGAAUUCAGUGAAUCAUCGAAUCUUUGAACGCACCUUGCGCCCUCUGGUAUUCCGGAGGGCAUGCCUGUUUGAGUGUCAUGUAGACUCAAUCCCUCGGGUUUCCGAGGAGAUUGGACUUGGGUGUUGCCGCUCUGCCGGCUCGCCUUAAAAGACUUAGCGGGAUAGCACCGUAGUCGGCGUAAUAAGUUUCGUCGGUGAAGGUUGUGAUGACUGCUUACAAUCGCCCUCGGGCAAUUUUUGACUCUGACCUCAAAUCAGGUAGGACUACCCGCUGAACUU
rnacentral:rRNA from 1 species